rnacentral:lncRNA from 1 species
AUGAACAGCUGCUUGAAACUUAAGAUAAUAACGAAUAAAGAAAAUGUGAUGGAAGCUACAAGAAAGGCCAAGGUGUAUGAAAGCUUUGAAGCUCUGCAGCAGAGAAAGGAAAAACCUUGUGAGCUGAUAAUAUCAUUGAACUGCACCUUUGCUCCAAGCAAAUUUCUAAUUUACUUUGAAAAUAGGAGCAUUUUGCCUAAGAAAGGGUGGAGUCUUUGUUGCUACACCUUGAGGAGACUGUACACGAUGCAGUACAUCUCUGCUCCAUGCAGGCAGAGAGAACAGUGA